GACGAACGCUGGCGGCGUGCCUAAUACAUGCAAGUAGAACGCACAGUUUAUACCGUAGCUUGCUACACCAUAGACUGUGAGUUGCGAACGGGUGAGUAACGCGUAGGUAACCUGCCUGGUAGCGGGGGAUAACUAUUGGAAACGAUAGCUAAUACCGCAUAAUAUUAAUUAUUGCAUGAUAAUUAAUUGAAAGGUGCAAUUGCACCACUACCAGAUGGACCUGCGUUGUAUUAGCUAGUAGGUGAGGUAACGGCUCACCUAGGCGACGAUACAUAGCCGACCUGAGAGGGUGAUCGGCCACACUGGGACUGAGACACGGCCCAGACUCCUACGGGAGGCAGCAGUAGGGAUUCUUCGGCAAUGGACGAAAGUCUGACCGAGCAACGCCGCGUGAGUGAAGAAGGGUUUCGGAUCGUAAAGCUCUGUUGUAAGAGAAGAACGGGUGUGAGAGUGGAAAGUUCACACUGUGACGGUAUCUUACCAGAAAGGGACGGCUAACUACGUG
rnacentral:rRNA from 1 species